rnacentral:rRNA from 1 species
AUUCACGGGAGGUCACACCUGCACAAUGGCCUACGGGUUCAAUUGCCGCGGUAACCUGACCGUGCAAAGGUAGCGUAAUCAAUAGCCUAUUAAUUGUUGGCCUGUAUGAAUGGUACGACGCUGGUAGCGCUGUCUCAGUUGCAUUAAUUUGAACUUAACUUCUGGGUGAAAAGGCCCAGAUAAAUCUGAAAGACGAUUAGACCCUAUCGAACUUUAGGUAGACUAACUGCCAGGGAACCCGCUGGGCCAACGCCUGUACUGUUAUUUAAACCUUUGGUUGGGGUAACCGGGGACCAAGAAAAACGCCCCCCCCUCCUUUGAAAGUUGACACCCGCACAAUUAAGGUAAUUGCUGACUUUACCUUUAGGGCAAUUGGCCUUCAGGAGAGUAACUUAAUCGGACUGAAAAAAGCCUGACAAGGCAUAUUUUACUUAUAGAAUGAACCUAAAGAACUGCCCGUAAGGGCAGUCAUCUGUUAAUAGGGAAGAGUUACCGUAGGGAUAACAGCGUAAUCUUCCCGGCGAGACCACAUUAAGGGGAGGGUUUGCGACCUCGAUGUUGGCUUAGGGCCUCCUAGAAGUGCAGGGGCUUCUAAGGGUUGGUCUGUUCGACCAUUAAAGCCUUACGUGAUC